UGGAAACAAUGCUGGUUUGAUAUGUUCAUGCCUCAACACCAUGGAUCUCCAGGUGGGUCAAGAUUAUAGAGAAACACCAACCUGGAGGACUCCAUGCUGUUGAGCUGUUCACAAGCUACAAGAACCAAUU
rnacentral:pre_miRNA from 11 species